rnacentral:sRNA from 1 species
GUCCCUGAAAAAAAUGGGGAUCAGGUUUAGCAGCCUGGAAUGCAAAAAGCGCACAAAAAACCGCGCCGUGCGGUUUUUUU